GGGGCAGUAGCUCAGUUGGUUAGAGCGGGGGACUCAUAAUCCCUAGGUCGUGGGUUCAAGUCCUACCUGCCCUA
rnacentral:tRNA from 1 species